rnacentral:rRNA from 1 species
UCAGACAGCCAUAAUAAGCAUGUUCUACCUGUUCCCAUCAGAACACAGAAGUCAAGUUGCUUAUGUUCCUGGUGUUAGUUUCGCAAGAAGUAAACCCAGGAAGCUGUCACCU